rnacentral:rRNA from 1 species
UCGAUUCCCUUAGUAGCGGCGAGCGAAACGGGAAGAGCCCAAACCAACAAGCUUGCUUGUUGGGGUUGUAGGACACUCUAUACGGAGUUACAAAGGACGACAUUAGACGAAUCAUCUGGAAAGAUGAAUCAAAGAAGGUAAUAAUCCUGUAGUCGAAAAUGUUGUCUCUCUUGAGUGGAUCCUGAGUACGACGGAGCACGUGAAAUUCCGUCGGAAUCUGGGAGGACCAUCUCCUAAGGCUAAAUACUCUCUAGUGACCGAUAGUGAACCAGUACCGUGAGGGAAAGGUGAAAAGCACCCCGGAAGGGGAGUGAAAUAGAACCUGAAACCGUGUGCUUACAAGUAGUCAGAGCCCGUUAAUGGGUGAUGGCGUGCCUUUUGUAGAAUGAACCGGCGAGUUACGAUUUGAUGCAAGGUUAAGCAGUAAAUGUGGAGCCGUAGCGAAAGCGAGUCUGAAUAGGGCGUUUAGUAUUUGGUCGUAGACCCGAAACCAGGUGAUCUACCCUUGGUCAGGUUGAAGUUCAGGUAACACUGAAUGGAGGACCGAACCGACUUACGUUGAAAAGUGAGCGGAUGAACUGAGGGUAGCGGAGAAAUUCCAAUCGAACCUGGAGAUAGCUGGUUCUCUCCGAAAUAGCUUUAGGGCUAGCCUCAAGUGAUGAUUAUUGGAGGUAGAGCACUGUUUGGACGAGGGGCCCCUCUCGGGUUACCGAAUUCAGACAAACUCCGAAUGCCAAUUAAUUUAACUUGGGAGUCAGAACAUGGGUGAUAAGGUCCGUGUUCGAAAGGGAAACAGCCCAGACCACCAGCUAAGGUCCCAAAAUAUAUGUUAAGUGGAAAAGGAUGUGGCGUUGCCCAGACAACUAGGAUGUUGGCUUAGAAGCAGCCAUCAUUUAAAGAGUGCGUAAUAGCUCACUAGUC